AGGGAGGUAGUUUAUAAAUAAAAUAUGGGCUUUGGGAGUCUAAGAAGCCGAGUCGUUGGUCUUUUCUA
rnacentral:tRNA from 1 species